GUGAGGAAUAUUGGACAAUGGAUGGAAAUCUGAUCCAGCCAUGCCGCGUGCAGGAAGACGGCCCUAUGGGUUGUAAACUGCUUUUAUACGGGAGCAAUAAGGUCUAUGCAUAGAUUGAUGAGAGUACCGUAUGAAUAAGCAUCGGCUAACUCCGUGCCAGCAGCCGCGGUAAUACGGAGGAUGCGAGCGUUAUCCGGAUUUAUUGGGUUUAAAGGGUGCGUAGGCGGCUUUGUAAGUCAGCGGUGAAAUUUUGCAGCUUAACUGUAAAAGCGCCGUUGAUACUGUGAAGCUAGGAUUUGGUUGCUGUGGGCGGAAUGUGUGGUGUAGCGGUGAAAUGCAUAGAUAUCACACAGAAUAUCGAUUGCGAAGGCAGCUCACAAAGCUAAUAUUGACGCUGAUGCACGAAAGUGUGGGGAUCAAACAGGAUUAGAUACCCGGGUAGUCC
rnacentral:rRNA from 1 species